UACGAGGGGGGCGAGCGUUGUUCGGAAUUAUUGGGCGUAAAGGGGGCGUAGGCGGUUUGGUAAGUCUGAUGUGAAAUCUAUGGGCUCAACUCAUAGUCUGCAUCGGAAACUGCCGGGCUUGAGUGUGGGAGAGGUGAGUGGAAUUCCUGGUGUAGCGGUGAAAUGCGUAGAUAUCAGGAGGAACACCUGUGGCGAAAGCGGCUCACUGGACCAUAACUGACGCUGAUGCACGAAAGCUAGGGGAGCAAACAGG
rnacentral:rRNA from 1 species